rnacentral:tRNA from 1 species
GCAGUGGUAGUUCAGUGGUAGAUUUCUUACCUUCUGUGCAAGAGACCCAGAUUCAAUUCCCAGCCAAUGUA